UACUAGGGCCCGGAAAAUGAAUGGCGCAUAUAGUACUACCGAUCUCAGACAUCAGUUCUAUUGAACUGAGAGUAGGGGGAUGUGGACAUUUUUGUGAAGGUGCAAUGUGAGUUGGACUGGAAGAAUGUCUAUAACAGAUCCUAAUUGAAGUAGCGAUUAUCCAGGCUUGUAUCCUGGGGGCUGAUGAGGAGUAGGGUUUCUGGACAACUUAAACAGAUCCAGAGUUAGUCGAUCCUAAUCUCAAUAAUGGGAGAAAGGGAGUACAGUUGAUAUUCUGUAACUGACAACAGUUCGCGGCAACGCAUACUAUUUUUCUCCGCCAAUCUUAUACCGUUGGUAGGGAUCUCUUUCCUACAUGACAGUACUAAUACCCAGGGAAACUGGUCAUCAGGCGAACUGCGGCGUUCUGCUGGCAAAACAUAGCUUCGGUUAUGUCAAUGGCUAUUGGAUUGGUCCAUGAAGCGAAAAAUAGUUUACUGUGUCACUCGUACCGAUAACCGCAUCAGGUCUUCUAGGUAAGUAGCCUAUGGCCAUUGAGGCAUGAUAGUUCAGGGAAUUCGGCCAAUUAGAGCUGUAACUUCGGGAUAAAGCUUGGCUCUGAUGAAAAUCAGAACCGAUUGUUACGCGGAGAGCCCAACUGUUUAAUAAAAACGUAGUGUCGCGCUGUGGUAGUAUAGCCAGUGAACGCGACAUGAAUCCUGCUCAGUGCUGUGUCUGUUAAUAUGGUUCAAGCCAACGAAGCACCGGUAAAUAGCUGGGGUAACUAUGACU
rnacentral:ncRNA from 1 species